rnacentral:rRNA from 1 species
GGAGGGUGCAAGCGUUAAUCGGAAUUACUGGGCGUAAAGCGCGCGUAGGCGUUAAAUAAGUCAGAUGUGAAAUCCCUGGGCUCAACCUAGGAACUGCAUUUGAAACUGUUUGGCUAGAGUAUGGUAGAGGUGAGUGGAAUUUCAGGUGUAGCGGUGAAAUGCGUAGAGAUCUGAAGGAACAUCAGUGGCGAAGGCGACUCACUGGGCCAUUACUGACGCUGAGGUGCGAAACGGUGGGUAGCAAACAGGAUUAGAUACCCUGGUAGUCCACGCCUAAACGAUGUCAACUAGGUGUUGUGAGAGUCUUAACUCUUGCUGACUGAAGCUAACGCGAUAAGUUGACCGCUGGGAGUACGGCCGCAGAUAAAACUCAAAUGAAUUGACGGGGCCGCACAAGCGUGGAGCAUGUGUUAAUUCGAUGCAACCGGAGACCUUA